rnacentral:rRNA from 1 species
CCUACGGGUGGCAGCAGUGAGGAAUAUUGGUCAAUGGGAGAGAUCCUGAACCAGCCAAGCCGCGUGAGGGAAGACGGCCCUAUGGGUUGUAAACCUCUUUUGUCGGAGAACAAAACCCGGGACGUGUCCCGGAAUGCGUGUAUCCGAAGAAAAAGCACCGGCUAACUCCGUGCCAGCAGCCGCGGUAAUACGGAGGAUGCGAGCGUUAUCCGGAUUUAUUGGGUUUAAUGGGUGCGUAGGCGGUCCGUUAAGUCAGCGGUAAAAUUGCGGGGCUCAACCCCGUCGAGCCGUGGAAACUGGCAGACUUGAGUGGGCGAGAAGUACGCGGAAUGCGCGGUGUAGCGGUGAAAGGCAUAGAUAGC